rnacentral:rRNA from 1 species
AUUGAACGCUGGCGGCAGGCCUAACACAUGCAAGUCGAACGAGUGGCGGACGGGUGAGUAAGGUCUGGGAAACUGCCUGAUGGAGGGGGAUAACUACUGGAAACGGUAUCUAAUACCGCAUACCAUCAGAUGUGCCCAGAUGGGAUUAGCUUGUUGGUGGGGUAACGGCUCACCAAGGCGGCGAUCCCUAGCUGGUCUGAGAGGAUGACCGGCCCUUCAGAAACUGAGACACAGUCCAGACUCCUACGGGAGGCAGCAGUGGGGGAUAUUGGACAAUGGGCGGAAGCCUGCUGCAGCCAUGCGGAGUGUAUGAAGAAGGCCUUCGGGUUGUAAAGUACUUUCAGCGGAGAGGCGUUACCCGGAGAAGAAGCACCGGCUAACACCGUGCCAGCAGCCGCGGUAAUAC